rnacentral:lncRNA from 1 species
CAAGCCCGUGGAGGACAAGAUCAUGGAGAUCGCCACGCUCGAGAAGUUCCUGCAGGAGCGCAUCAAGGUCGCCGGCGGCAAGGCUGGCAACCUUGGCGAGGGCGUCACCGUCACCCGCGACAAGACCAAGGUCACCGUCACCUCCGAUGGGCCUUUCUCCAAGAGGUAUAUAAGCACACAGCAUGCUAGUUAAUCCCGCUGAGAUCCACGCAUGCAUAUUUCUUUCUGGGUGCUGAUUUUUGGACAUACCACUACUGAUUCGUCGAGCUGUAUGUGUUCUUAUCGGUUCCGUAGGGGAUGAACUGGUCAAUCUGCAGGAUUAGGUAUUUGAUUUCAUUUUUGAGUUGCAGCUAGUGAAUCAUUCUGUGAUUAUGCAGUAAAUAAAAUUAAGUUUGCUUAGGACACAUUACUUUUUGAACUUGUUACUGGCUUACAGUUUUAUUAGCACAUUACUGUACCGCAGGUGCAUACCUGUGAUUAUGCAGUAAAUAUAAUUAAGUUUGCUUAGGACAUAACAUUUUGAACUUGUUACUGGCUUGACAGUUUUAUUAGCACAUUGCUGUACCAAAGCUGCACACCCUUCAUAUUAUCUGUCGAGGAGAUAUAUCAUAUUAUCUGUCGACGAGAUAUUUCAUGAGAUGCAAGCAAGAUGAUAGACGAACAUAAGCUUACUUUACACGCGUUGUCUAAUGCAAUUUUCAUGUUUAUUCAUGCUGUUUGAUUGUAUCGACUAGUUUCUUUCUUGAGCUGUUUUAGUGGUAUUUUGUUCACGGCUGAAACUUAUUGUACUUCAUUGUUUGUUCAGUUCACCAGUUGUUUGCUUGCAUCAGUUACUGGGUUGUUUACUCAAAUAGUGUGUAUCAAGUUGUUGCCUUAAACGGCUAGUUUGAGCGGCUUAACUGUGAUGUGCCUCCUGUGAAAACAAGUUCUUAGUUAAGUUUCUGAAACAUUGUUGCUCCAUUCUCAGGUACCUGAAGUACUUGACAAAGAAGUACCUGAAGAAGCACAAUGUGCGUGACUGGCUCCGGGUUAUCGCGUCAAACAAGGACCGCAGCGUCUAUGAGCUCCGGUACUUCAAUAUUGCUGAGAACGAGGGUGAGGAGGAGGAUUAGACGCACCACCUUAUCUGUGUCUUGUGAACUUUGGAUGUGUUGGAACACUCAUGCUUGUAGCCUUUGAAGGGAUGAGUUUUGAUGUUUAAAAUUGGUCUUAUGAUGUUUUUAUAAGCGUGCUGGAACUUCUCAUGUGAUGCUUAGAUAAUCGAGUCGAAGAAUUGUUGUUCUUGCUUCAGCCUCUGUAAGGAUGACCGUGGGCAUUGAGUGUUUAUGAGCGUCUAUAGAACUGACUAUUUAGCUGCAGGUAUUCAUUUAUUGGAGUCAUUUCCCAUCGCUUUGGUGAUGCUA